rnacentral:rRNA from 1 species
GAUGAACGCUGGCGGCGUGCCUAAUACAUGCAAGUCGAGCGAACAGACGAGGAGCUUGCUCCUCUGACGUUAGCGGCGGACGGGUGAGUAACACGUGGAUAACCUACCUAUAAGACUGGGAUAACUUCGGGAAACCGGAGCUAAUACCGGAUAAUAUAUUGAACCGCAUGGUUCAAUAGUGAAAGACGGUUUUGCUGUCACUUAUAGAUGGAUCCGCGCCGCAUUAGCUAGUUGGUAAGGUAACGGCUUACCAAGGCAACGAUGCGUAGCCGACCUGAGAGAGUGAUCGGCACACCUGGACCUGAGACCCGGCCCAGAUCCCUACGGGAGCCAGCAGUAGGAAAUCUGCCGCAAUGGGCGAAGCCCUGACCGAGCAACGCGGCGUGAGUGAUGAAGGUCUUCGGUUCGUAAAACUCUGUUAUUAGGGAAGAACACAUCUGUAAGUAACUAUGCACGUCUUGACGGUACCUAAUAAUAAAGCCACGCCUAACUCCGU